CUUGACCGUGCAAAGGUAGCAUAAUCAUUUGUCUCUUAAAUGGGGACCUGUAUGAAUGGCUUUUCAUUCUCUAGCUGUCUCCCUUCUUCCCCCUUUAAACUUCUAUUUACGUGAAGAAGCGUAAUUUUGACAGAAAGACGAGAAGACCCUGUCGAGCUUCAGCUAAACCUAAGUCCCACUACAUUUCCUCUCAGAGAAAAAGUAAAGUCCUUAGAACAAGCUUUGGUUGGGGCAACCAUGGAGUAAAAACAGCCUCCAGUUUUUCAGGUAGAAAACUAUUCUCCUAAAUAUACACUUUUAGAACCAAAAAUUUUGGAAAACGGAAAAAGUUACCGCAGGGAUAACAGCGUUAUCUUUUCUGAGAGCCCUUAUUGACGAAAAGGAUUGCGACCUCGAUGUUGGAUUGGGGUAACCAGAGGGUGCAGCAGCUCUCCAAGGUUGGACUGUUCGUCCAUUAAUUCCC
rnacentral:rRNA from 1 species